UACGUAGGGGGCAAGCGUUGUCCGGAUUUACUGGCGUAAAGAGCGUGUAGGCGGCCGCGCAGGUCCGUUGUGAAAUCUCCGAGCUUAACUCGGAAAGGUCAACUGAUACUGCUCGGCUAGAGUGCGGAAGGGGCAACUGGAAUUCUUGGUGUAGCGGUGAAAUGCGUAGAUAUCAAGAGGAACACCUGCGGCGAAGGCGGGUUGCUGGGCCGACACUGACGCUGAUGCGCGAAAGCCAGGGGAGCGAACGGG
rnacentral:rRNA from 1 species